GCCUCCUCGACCACCAGAGUCGCCCGAUCUCGCCGGAGUUUGCCUCUGAUCGCCAUGGCCGCCUCGGUCUCUUCUUGAUUCCGGCGAGCAUAGUCCACCUCUUCUCCUCUAGCCCCCUCCAACGUGUUCCUCUCCUUCCCGCUGUCCUCCCCACCUCACUCGUUCGACGCCGGAGUGCCUCUGGCCGCGCCUCCCGAAGCUCGUCCGCCGCCUUCUCCUCUCGGCCUCGUCCUUGAUUUCGGCUGUCCGCGCCUCCCCUCCACCUCCUGACUCCACCAACGACUCCUCCACCCUACGGCGAACCCUCCCAAGCUCUCACCUCGCCUCCCCGUCACCGGAGCACCUCGCCCCCAAGAAAAUGGCCGCCGGAGCCGCCUCUGUUCUCCCCUUCGCCGUGGUCGCUCCGCUCCUCUCUGGCGUCUCCUCUGCGCGGGGAUGGAUGCGGCAGGCCACGCCAAGCCUGCCGAUGGUCUCGCCUUAGCCGGAGACGGCUGGAGCCACCAAGGCCCUCGUCGGCCGCGCCCGGACAGAGCCAUCCCCACCACCUUGUCCUGUUUCCCCCGCGUGCGGUCUAGCCCUGCCCUGGCCGCGGCACUCGCCGGCACGCCCGGCUGGCCCCUCGAUGACCGGAGUCGAUUGCCGGAGCAGCCGCUCCCGUCGCCGGACGCUCGACCCCGCCCCUCCUCUGUUUCCUGUCGGGAGGAGGAAGAAGACAGGAGGAGGGAGUGGAUAAAGUGGGUCCCCCUUGUCAUCCCUUGCUCGUUGAUCCCGCCACUGCCUCGCCACGGACCCGUCUCUGAAUAUUAUUUUUAUAGAGAAGUCCCUGAUCUUCUACACCCCAUAACUCCGCAACCGUAACUCAGAUUGAGGCCCUCCGAGAAAGAACCGCCCGGCGUUUCAUUCCGCGGCUUCACCGCACUUCUUCCCGGAGUCUCCGUCACCCGCAGGCAAGCCACAAUACCCACUUGCAUGAUAGUCAUGCAG